UACGUAGGGUGCGAGCGUUGUCCGGAAUUAUUGGGCGUAAAGAGCUUGUAGGCGGUUUGUCGCGUCUGCCGUGAAAAUUCGAGGCUCAACCUCGAACUUGCGGUGGGUACGGGCAGACUAGAGUGUGGUAGGGGAGACUGGAAUUCCUGGUGUAGCGGUGAAAUGCGCAGAUAUCAGGAGGAACCCCGAUGGCGAAGGCAGGUCUCUGGGCCACUACUGACGCUGAGGAGCGAAAGCGUGGGGAGCGAACAGG
rnacentral:rRNA from 1 species